UUUAAUCCUCAUCGUUUACCACGCCGUAACUAGGGUUCGUCUUCUUCUUCUAACGCCUGGUAUCUAAAAUUUUUUCUCUCUGUUAUCUGUCAGCAUCAAUGGUGUCUCGAGUAAUUGGAUUACUGAAAUCGAGUUGCAUAAUCUCUUUGUUUGUCUCCAAUCGCGUCUUAUAGCCUUCACUUCUAAUAAUCCGAAACGUUCCGAGUUAUUCAUCGCAUUUAUCACCUUAUUAACUCCAUAGGUGACGUGAACCACGAUCUGACUUUAAUUGUGAGUUAUACCUCUGAACUACACCUAUAAAAAGCCUGGCCGAGGCUCCUCCACCGUCCAAGUGCCGUUGCUCAGAUUCUGGAAAGCCAGAAAUUUCCGAGUGGAGGGGAACUGAUGUCUCUUGAUAUGCUCUUACUGGAUUCAAAGGCGACCAUUAUGCAGGUGAACGUGAGCCGACUAGCAACUUACGGGCCUUUUCUCCCGGCCGGUUCAAUGUAUUCUUUCACCGGUUUUGAUGUAACUCAGUGUAAUCAAAACUUCAGGCUCUCGCACUCCUCUCUGCUGAUUCGAUUCAGUGACGCUACCACUCUUGCUAACUGAACCAUCUUCUCCAAUACCUAAAGAAUGUUUCAGGUUCCGUAAUCACAGCGAGAUGCUUGGUCUAGCCAACACCAAUACCCAACUUCCAUGUAUUCCUCCUAUAAUCUGUUCAUCAAUAUAGCUGGAUAUAAGAUAUUAAUAUUAAUCGUCACACAUAUAUUAUUGGUGAGAUAACUGCUGUUAAGAGAAAGUUCUAUUUCGCUUGAAUGGCUAACUCAUCUAUAUUGCUCGCUGAAGGCUGGCCAGAGAUGGGUUCUUCUCUCUGUUUUGGACAGGAAAAUCUGAGGAUUCAGAGGUGCUCGAAACCAAAGGGUAUACCCUCAUCAUUCUCUUCCCGACUAUAUCACCUUUGCCGGAGAUGGGUUCUUCUUCUGUUUUGGAGAGUAGAAACUGAUGAUUCAAAAGUGUUAAGGCUUUGGCUCCGGGAGUAAGUAAGGAACUCCAUCGGCUCAAGAGGCAUCUCCAAUGGCCGGUAAACAAGGUCUUUCUUGCAAAUCGGAACCAUGGCUUUUUCCAUUUUAGACAGAGGUGAAGGAAGUGAGAGAGAAAGUGGAGGUCAAGAAAGAGACGUAUAGUAUUGGGAGGAGACUUUUGUAAUGUGUUUGAUUUUGGCCUUAGUGGAGGUCUUCUUUCAAGAUCACGUUUUGGGUUCAUUUUGUUGCCAUGCAUGCUGUUACUGGUUCUUAUGCGAGACCAAAUUUUGUCGAUUAUCUUGGAGCCAAACCAUUUUGUAGGAUUCAAUUUCCAAUGGAGUUCCUCUAGAAGAUGGCCAUCCAGAUCCUAAUUUGACGUAAGAAAAAAACUUAGGGGAAGACUCACCAUAUACACUUAGUAUAUAAUUUUAUAAACCGUCUUAUAUAUAGAUACGCAAAUUGCCAGUGUAUAGAACACCAAGUCAAGAACAAUUGCCUGUUUUUUUUUCUU